rnacentral:rRNA from 1 species
AUUGAACGCUGGCGGCAGGCCUAAAACAUGCAAGUCGAACGAGUGGCGGACGGGUAAGUAAUGUCUGGGAAACUGCCUGAUGGAGGGGGAUAACUACUGGAAACGGUAGCUAAUACCGCAUACACUCGGAUGUGCCCAGAUGGGAUUCGCUAGUAGGUGGGGUAACGGGUCACCUAGGCGACGAUCCCUAGCUGGUCUGAGAGGAUGACAAGCCACACUGGAAUUGAGACACGGUCCAGACGCCUACGGGAGGCAGCAGGGGGGAAUAGUGCACAAUGGGCGCAAGCCUGAUGCAGCCAUGCCGCGUGUAUGAAGAAGGCCUUCGGGUUGUAAAGUACUUUCAGCGGGGAGGCGUUACCCGCAGAAGAAGCACCGGCUAACUCCGUGCCAGCCGCCGCGGUAAUUC